rnacentral:rRNA from 1 species
AUUGAACGCUGGCGGCAGGCCUAACACAUGCAAGUCGAACGGUAACAGGAAGCAGCUUGCUGCUUCGCUGACGAGUGGCGGACGGGUGAGUAAUGUCUGGGAAACUGCCUGAUGGAGGGGGAUAACUACUGGAAACGGUAGCUAAUACCGCAUAACGUCGCAAGACCAAAGAGGGGGACCUUAGGGCCUCUUGCCAUCGGAUGUGCCCAGAUGGGAUUAGCUAGUAGGUGGGGUAACGGCUCACCUAGGCGACGAUCCCUAGCUGGUCUGAGAGGAUGACCAGCCACACUGGAACUGAGACACGGUCCAGACUCCUACGGGAGGCAGCAGUGGGGAAUAUUGCACAAUGGGCGCAAGCCUGAUGCAGCCAUGCCGCGUGUAUGAAGAAGGCCUUCGGGUUGUAAAGUACUUUCAGCGGGGAGGAAGGGAGUAGAGUUAAUACCUUUGCUCGUUGACGUUACCCGCAGAAGAAGCACCGGCUAACUCCGUG